GACGAACGCUGGCGGCGUGCCUAAUACAUGCAAGUCGAACGGUUUAGUUCCAAGAGGCUUGCCUUUUGGAACUAGACAGUGGCGGGCGGGUGAGUAACACGUAGGCAACCUACCUGUCAAACCGGGAUAACCUCGGGCAACCGAAGCUAAACCCGGAUACGCUCCUUUUUCGCAUGAAGAGGGAGUGACAAGGUGCGACCGGAUGACAGAUGGGCCUGCGGCGCAUUAGCUAGUAGGUAGGGUAACGGCCUACCCAGGCCAUGAUGCGUAGCCGACCUGAGAGGGCGCACGGCCACACUGGGACUGAGAUACGGCCCAGACUCGUACGGGAGGCAGCAGUAGGGAAUCUUCGGCGCUGGGCGAAAGCCUGACCGAGCAACGCCGCGUGAGUGAGGAAGGCCGUCGGGUUGUAAAACUCUGGUGUUUGGGAAGAAGGGAAAGGGUAGGACGCUUAGGUGACGGUACCAAACGAGAAAGCCCCGGCUAACUACGUG
rnacentral:rRNA from 1 species